AAAGAUAAUGAAGUUGGAACCAGUCCGUGGGUGGAAUUUUGCAAACCUGAAACGAAGAAGAAUUAAAAGGCAAACUCAAACGGGGGUUAGCGAAAAUAUUCCUUACUUUUUCUUGUUUGCUUUCUUCACUCGUUUCUUUUGCAAACUCUUUUUCAAUUUCUUUUUCAAUCUCUUUUUGCUUUUCACUCUCUUUUGUUUUUUAAAUCUCAUUUUCAUCUUUUUCUUUUUCAUUUCUUUCAAUUUCUUUUUCAAUGUUCUUUUCUCGCUCACAUUCUUUUACAACCAAUUUUUUUAAUUUGAUUUGGUCCUCA
rnacentral:lncRNA from 1 species